rnacentral:rRNA from 1 species
AACAACGCUGGCGGCGUGCCUAACACAUGCAAGUCGAACGAGAAAGUCGGUUUCGGCCGAUGAGUAAAGUGGCGCACGGGUGAGUAACGCGUGGAUAAUCUACCCUUUAGUCCGGAAUAACUUGCCGAAAGGUGAACUAAUACCGGAUGACAUCCCGGGUUCUCCGGAAACCGGGAUCAAAGAAGGCCUCUGCUUGCAAGCUUUUGCUGAAGGAUGAGUCCGCGUACCAUUAGCUAGUUGGUGGGGUAAUGGCCUACCAAGGUUAUGAUGGUUAGCUGGUCUGAGAGGAUGAUCAGCCACACUGGAACUGAGACACGGUCCAGACUCCUACGGGAGGCAGCAGUGAGGAAUAUUGCGCAAUGGGGGCAACCCUGACGCAGCAACGCCGCGUGAGUGAGGAAGGUUUUCGGACCGUAAAGCUCUGUCGAGCGGGAAGAAAUGUAUCAUGGCUAAUAUCCAUGAUACUUGACGGUACCGCUAAAGGAAGCACCGGCUAACUCCGUG